rnacentral:rRNA from 1 species
UACGGAGGGUGCAAGCGUUAUCCGGAUUUACUGGGUUUAAAGGGUGCGUAGGUGGGCAGGUAAGUCAGUGGUGAAAUCUCCGAGCUUAACUCGGAAACUGCCAUUGAUACUAUCUGUCUUGAAUAUCCUGGAGGUAAGCGGAAUAUGUCAUGUAGCGGUGAAAUGCUUAGAUAUGACAUAGAACACCAAUUGCGAAGGCAGCUUACUACGGGAUUAUUGACACUGAGGCACGAAAGCGUGGGGAGCGAUCCGG